rnacentral:rRNA from 1 species
CCUACGGGUGGCAGCAGUGAGGAAUAUUGGUCAAUGGGCGUAAGCCUGAACCAGCCCAGUCGCGUGCGGGAUGAAGGUUCUAUGGAUCGUAAACCUCUUUUAUAAGGGAAUAAAGUGCGGGACGUGUCCCGUUUUGUAUGUACCUUAUGAAUAAGGAUCGGCUAACUCCGUGCCAGCAGCCGCGGUAAUACGGAGGAUCCGAGCGUUAUCCUGAUUUAUUGGGUUUAAAGGGUGCGAAGGCGGGCUGUUAAGCCGGCGGUAAAAAUUCAGGGCGCAACCCUGUCGAGCCGUCGGAACUGGCAGUCGUGAGUGGGCGAGAAGUAUGCGGAAUGCGUGGUGUAGCGGUGAAAUGCAUAGAUAUCACGCAGAACUCCGAUUGCGAAGGCAGCUCACUGGACUGCAACUGACACUGAGGCUCGAAAGUGUGGGUAUCAAACAGGAUUAGAUACCCGGGUAGUC